ACACACCCAAACACAUCGAGUAAAUAAAUCAGGUAAUCAGGCCGGCCCCACUCAGCAGCUGCAUCCUCACAAUCAGCUUCUGAGGAAAGAGUUCAUUCAAACUGUAAACACUGGCUUCCUCUCUCAUUGUGUCUACAUUUGUGGGGUUCUCCACUUUAUUGUAAUGUUGUCUGCAGACUAACAAGAGUUCAUCAAAACCCUCUGCCUGCAGGCUGAGCUCAAUUUAUUUCCAUCACAAGGAAGUCUUUCUGCAGAAUUUGCUACAGUAGAUUAAAUUUAUAUUCAGUGAUGUGCUGGAUCCAGUGGUGAUUGGUGAACAUUUGAUUAAAAGAAAAAUCAAAUGUAACUCCUGAAAUUAGCCAAGAAGGUUCAGUCUUUAAUGUAAUGGUACUCAUAUAAAUAAUAAUACUGAACAAUAUUCAGCAGAAAUCUUAUAUCGGCAUUCCUUAGUUGUAUACUACAAAGUAUAAUUUUAUAAAGGGGUAAAGCUGAAGCUUAUAUAGUCUUAUCCAGGGUAAUGAAAAAAAAACAUUUUACCAACAUCUACAAAUACUUUUUGUCAGGUUACAGUGAAUUGGGAAAACUGAAAGAAGAGAAGAGAAGAGAAGGAAGAUGAUCAAAAACUAAAGAGUUAGUUAAAAAUUAAAAAGCUCAGAUUAUAUUGCUUCUCCUCUGCCUUUAAAACUCAGGUAGUGUGGCUCUUUUAAAAAGUUAUCAGAGCCCAGACAAAAAAAAAAAAACCUUGAGAAAAAUUUCAGAUCG